UACGGAGGGUGCGAGCGUUGUCCGGAAUUAUUGGGCGUAAAGAGCUCGUAGGCGGUCUGUCGCGUCGGAUGUGAAAACCCAGGGCUCAACCCUGGGCCUGCAUUCGAUACGGGCAGACUAGAGUUCGGUAGGGGAGACUGGAAUUCCUGGUGUAGCGGUGAAAUGCGCAGAUAUCAGGAGGAACACCGGUGGCGAAGGCGGGUCUCUGGGCCGAUACUGACGCUGAGGCGCGAAGGCGUGGGGAGCGAACGGG
rnacentral:rRNA from 1 species